rnacentral:misc_RNA from 1 species
GAUGAAGAACGUAGCGAAAUGCGAUAAGUAAUGUGAAUUGCAGAACUCAGUGAAUCAUCGAAUCUUUGAACGCACAUUGCGCCCCUUGGUAUCCCGAGGGGCAUGCCUGUUCGAGCGUCAUUUCACCACUCAAGCCUGGCUUGGUGUUGGGCGACGUCCUCUUUGGGGACGCGCCUCGAAACGCUCGGCGGCGUGGCACCGGCUUUAAGCGUAGCAGAAUCUUUCGCUUUGGAAGUCGGGGCCCCGUCUGCCGGAAGACCUGCUCGCAAGGUUGACCUCGGAUCAGGCAGGGAUACCCGCUGAACUUAAGCAUAUCAAUAAGCGGAGGA